UGGAGAUGAGUACGUUCGCGG
rnacentral:misc_RNA from 1 species